GACGAACGCUGGCGGCGUGCCUAAUACAUGCAAGUAGAACGCACAGUUUAUACCGUAGCUUGCUACACCAUAGACUGUGAGUUGCGAACGGGUGAGUAACGCGUAGGUAACCUGCCUGGUAGCGGGGGAUAACUAUUGGAAACGAUAGCUAAUACCGCAUAAUAUUAAUUAUUGCAUGAUAAUUAAUUGAAAGGUGCAAUUGCACCACUACCAGAUGGACCUGCGUUGUAUUAGCUAGUAGGUGAGGUAACGGCUCACCUAGGCGACGAUACAUAGCCGACCUGAGAGGGUGGUCGGCCACACUGGGACUGAGACACGGCCCAGACUCCUACGGGAGGCAGCAGUAGGGAAUCGUCGGCAAUGGACGAAAGUCUGACCGAGCAACGCCGCGUGAGGGAAGAAGGUUUUCGGAUCGUAAAGCUCUGUUGUAAGAGAAGAACGGGUGUGAGAGUGGAAAGUUCACACUGUGACGGUAUCUUACCAGAAAGGGACGGCUAACUACGUG
rnacentral:rRNA from 1 species